CCCUAAAAGCCAUCCCAGUUCGGAUUGCAGGCUGCAACCCGCCUGUAUGAAGUUGGAAUCGCUAGUAAUCGCGGAUCAGCAUGCCGCGGUGAAUACGUUCCCGGGCCUUGUACACACCGCCCGUCACACCAUGAGAGUCGGGAACACCCGAAGUCCGUAGCCUAACCGCAAGGGGGGCGCGGCCGAAGGUGGGUUCGAUAAUUGGGGUGAAGUCGUAACAAGGUACC
rnacentral:rRNA from 1 species